rnacentral:rRNA from 1 species
UACGUAGGGAGCAAGCGUUGUCCGGAAUCAUUGGGCGUAAAGCGCACGUAGGCGGCUCGUUAAGUCGGAUGUGAAAGCCCUGGGCUCAACCCAGGAAGUGCAUACGAAACUGGCGAGCUUGAGUAUGGAAGAGGGUCGCGGAAUUCCCGGUGUAGAGGUGAAAUUCGUAGAUAUCGGGAGGAACACCAGUGGCGAAGGCGGCGACCUGGGCCAAUACUGACGCUGAGGUGCGAAAGCGUGGGGAGCAAACAGG